UAUCCCCUACAAUAUUGAAUGAUUUGAAAAUCUGAUCAGCAUACCAACAAUAUCCUCUAAAGAAAUAUUUUGCACCUAGCACAUAAUAGAGUCAGGGUUUCACCAUGUUGGCCAAGCUGGUCUCCAACUCCUGACCUCAAGUGAUCCGCCAACCUCAGCCUCCCAAAGUUCUGGGAUUACAGAGAACACACAGACCAAGUCAAGUAAAUCCUAAUGGCUGUAUUCAUCAUCUCUGGUUUCACGCAGUAGAGACUUCAAAUAACCGUGGAAGUUUAAAUGCAGGAAAUGCUGCAGCCCCAUCUACUGGAGAGGUGCAGAAAGCAAAAAAUAAGUAAGUUUUAUAUGCCAAGAAAUUUUUAUGCCAAUAUGUGGAUCCAGUUACCUUUCCUCCCAGCUCUGCGAUCUAUGCAUUUCUCUGCCACCUCCUCGACCAAAAACACCCUCUAC